CAAAGCGUCUGGUUCAGAAUUUGCCGUUAAAAUUCCUUUUGUUCGAAAGAAGGAAUAAUUAGUAAAAUGUAGCAAUUUGAACCAAUUUGCGCAAUUUGGCAAUGUUUAAAAACAAACACCUUUGGUUUUGUUUUGUGUAUCCACGUGGUUCGCGGUUUUAAUUUUCAGAAAUAAAAUCAAAAUAAAAUAACUUUAAGUAAAGUUCUCCGAACGUCCCUACCGUCUACGUGCAAGUUCCAUAUUUUCCUACGAAUUUUCUAAGUUUUUUCGCAGAUCCUUAUCCAGAAAUUCAUUACAUUAGUGCUAAACCUUACUUCUUUUGAGACUUUACAAGCCCCCAAUCUACUACCUUGAUAUUGGAGUUUUGCAGUGGGACGGACGGUGAAGAUGGACCAAUAUAACCUUGACUGACUGUCAGUCUAGGAGGUUUCCAUGAACUUUACCAAAGGGAGCUGAAAAGAUUAACACCGCUUUUCCAAUCCGAGCCACUCCCUCAAAGAGAAAUAAAAUAUGAGAUCAGAAAUCCGAGCCAAGUAAUAGCACAGCAACCAAGACUCGAAGUCUCAAAAAGAAAUGUGGGGUAUACAGUCAAGUCAAUCAUCUAAGUUACCAAAUCAAUCCUAGGGUAAGCUCACCUAUAGCAAAUAAUAAAUUGUAUUUUAUUUUACAAAACAGUUGGAUUGCGCUUGGCAGGGGGGGGGCUGGAGCGUCCCAGUGUUGCUAGAUUUUGGAAAAGUGAUUCUGGCUAAGUCUCAAGUUGCACAAUCAUGGCGACACUGAGAUUCUCUUGGUUCCUCCUUGCAAUGUGCAAUCCAAGUGUUUUGUACUCAUUUCUGUAACAUAUAUUGUUGUGUUUGGUAUGUGAAAGCAGAGGAAAUAGGAACGAGGGCCUUGCCAACCUGUGAAUCUAUUUAGCUAAUGUAAUUAGAUAAUGUAAUUAGUUGUUCUUUUUUAUAUAAAAAAAAAAUGGAUACAAAUUUCUAUAUUGUAUUCAACAUUAUGUUUGCUUAAAAUUUAAACUUAAAUUAAAUGUAUGUACCUAUUUAUAACAGCCUCAUCCACACGAGUCACCUCCUGGAUGAGGGAAGUUGAUUAUGUAUUUUUAUUGUAUUGUGUAAAUUGAAGAAUUAAUAAAUUGAAUUGAAAAAUUGAGUUGUUGCCACAUAUUACACAGGAUGAACAGGAGUUCAGCCACCCCACAAGAUGAUUGUGAUGGUAUAAAUGAAAUAAUUUUCCAGUCCUUUCACAUGUCAAACUAAUGGAUCUGUGGAAAUAUCAGAAGGGCAUCUAUCAAAUUCAGUCAGCGCAUUGCGUUCAAAGCAUUUUUUGCAGCUGCUGGCUAGAUCUCGCAUGUGAUGAUGAAGGAAAUUCCGAUUUUCUUAAGAUAAAUUGUAAUAAAAAUUUGCGAAAACGUAUGUAAUCGGAUAGAUUUUAGUUAUAUUAGAAUUAUUUAUGGGUAUCUUUCAAACAAACUAUACAAUUAAAAAAAAAUAAAAUCAAAAAGAAUUUAUGAACUUGAAGACAAUUUCCCAAAAAGUUCAGGUCCAAGUGUUCAUUUUGUAAGUAAAAAUUUCCAGAAAAAGUACUAAAUGCCACUCUAAAUCCCUAUGAGGGCGUUCUUGAGCAGGCUAAUUUUAAGAAAAACAUUUUUUGAACACAUUCAUGACCUUUUACUUAGCUUGAAAACAAAGCGAAAUUCACAGGGCUCAGCAUUUCAUCGGACAACCUCCGAUUUGCCUAGAUUGCGGCUUUGGCUAAUGUGGAUUUAAAAUUUUGUUUCAACUUCCCAUCCCAUCGGUGACUCGGGUGAAAUGAGCAAGAGUGUAACUGAUCCCGGAGGGUCAUGGGGAUUCGAUGUUUGACCGAUCUGAGGGAAAAAGUUUGACAAACCAGCAGGAUCACUUGAUCAGCGUUUCCCCCUUGCUUUUUUUGUGUGUUUUUCUCUCUCAGAAUUGACCCCACUAUAAUUGGAUGGAACGUCAAACGAAUAGUGGAGGUUGACAGCAUCUCAAGUUUCCGUUCAAGUUUCAUCCGAUUGUCGUGUUCUUGUGUCGGUAUUCCAUGGUGCACUUACGCAUUAAAAGAAAGAGGAAGAAAUGUUGAAUGGAGAGUUGAACCAUGUGAAUGGGGCCUGAGACAUUAUCUAUCUUUGGAAGUGCGACUGCACCUGAGACAUAUCAAAAACAAACAUGAAUUUGGGUGCCUACAAAUUUCCUUUUUCUGUCAUUCUUUUUCAAUGUGUAUCUUUGAUUUUUUUAAAAACACACAAAGAUAUAAUAGGUUUGAAAAAAGUCAGUAACAUUUCCAUAAUUUUAACUUCUAAAUGUCAUUUCCUGAAAAUUUUGGUGAUUUUUCUUCUCUGUGUGCAGAAUAUUCUGUAAAAAUUUCAAGCCAUGACGUAUGUUAAGUCUCCCCUUGAAAAUUAAAAUCUGAGCAGAAAUUUUGAGACAACUCAACCAAAAUUCACACUUCGGCAGUAUGUUUUUAACCAGUCUAAAUCAUUGGUUUCAAUGGAGAGAGAAGGAUACAUGGAAGAAAUUCAGCCAAUUUUGUUAUACUGUACUAGUAUUUUGUAUUUUGUCCUGUACUUUGUAUUUUUACUAACAGGAAAUAUUUUUAAUAAAAUAGUGAAACACAGGUAAUAAUGGAAGUAUAUCGAGAAUGCACCAAAUUGCUUCUUAAGUAAUAGUAUUAAGAUCUGCAGGCUGAUUAUUGAAAGUUUAAAGCGUGGCUUGGUUCCUUUCUGCUUAACGCAGUCAAUUUAAGAGAGCAUGAUAGCCUCUAAUUUAAAUCUCUAAAAGUGGAAAAGUUCAGAGGUUUAGCAGAAGUCAGGUUAAUGAAAAGAAGAUAGACUUAGCAGAAGUUUUGUUGAAAAGUCUGGAAAAGUCAGAGGAAACGGUAAUCUUAGAAGUAGAGAAAA